GCAGAAGGUGCCUCCUCUGAUCCCACCACAGAGGCUGCUGCAGCUGCUGAACCGGAAGGGACUACAUCUGCAGCAAAACCUGCUUCACCCCAAGAGCCCGCCCAGGAACCACAAAGUGCCGCCCCAAGUAAAGAAGAACUAAACCUAUUGAGUGGAGCUGAAUGGGGACGAAAUCUGAGAAACUGGGGUGCAAAACUGAAUGUAGUUGGGGUCUGAGAAGUUGAAAAGAAUGGGAUCAAAGCCUUAACCAUGCUUGCAGCCCAGCAUGAUUAAACUGAAGCAUCUAACU
rnacentral:lncRNA from 1 species